ACUUCUUGAUAAUUUACAGAUUGCAUCCUUUAUUGGUUUACCAGUUGGGUACAUACGUAGUGUUAAAAUAUACACCCCAACUCAAAACAAUAGCCUUUACAAUCAAGAAAAUCACUUACGAAAUUCACCUAUCUCAGAACUUCUCACACCGAUACCAGUGAAUGAAACUUUUAAUCAAAGUCUAAAUGAUGGCGACUGUUUCUUUCUUCUUGCAUUACUUGGUUUAAUAAAUCACGAAUGUUUUUUCGAUUUCCAAAUUUGUCUUUAUAACCCAGAAAUGGAAGGUAUUAGUGCUAUACAGUGUGACAGAUUCAUUUGUCAUUACACAGUUACCAGACUUUGGCUGAAUAAAAGAAAAAAAAUCAUACUAAAUUCUGAAUUAAUGGCGAAAAUCAGAGCUGGAUUUCCUGAACAAAGAUAUUCGUAUGAUGGCGAUGAAUGGGCGAAAACUUUAGUUAACUUCAAUAUUAGACAAUAUUAUACUCCAUGUUGUCGUUUGAUGAUGGGGAUAUUUCCACAGAGGAGUCUUUAUUUACGGCAUCGGGGUUAAUACCAUCUGAUAUGUAUGAUUUGAUCAUUUUUAACUUAACUUGCAACUUAUUUAAUGUAAAAAAAUUAGAUACUUUGGUCCAAAGUCUUUGGAAACAAAUUGAUCGCCACCUUUUGAGUUAAAAAUGAAUCAGCAUCAGUCUAUAUUGUCACCAUCAUAUCAUCUGAUAUUAAAAUAUUCAAAGUAAUUUUACUUCAAAGGUGCUUCUCUUUUUCAAUAAUACAAUUAUUAUAAAACCUUUUUUUGUUUUCCAACUAAUUAAUUUAACUUUUACAAGCCGUGUUCCAUCUAAUUAUUGUCAAUUGCGUGAUAAUAAACAAAGCAAUAUGUUAAUGGCUUUGUUUUUCAAGUUCAACAGUUCCGUUUCUUAAGCCUUUACAAAUAAUCGUCAACAUUAGUUGUUUACAGUGCUCUUGAUUGUUACAAAAUGUAAUGCUUAAAAUGUACUUGAGCUGUUUGGAAAGUGGUAUCAUUAGUUCUGUUAAUGAUUCCAUAGUUGGAUUAGUCGACAAAACCGAGCCGAAAGUUGAUAAAGUGGAUAAAGAUGACAAGAAAGAUGUUAAAAAGGAACCAGCCGAGACAACCAGCAAAAAAUUACCAGAUGAUAGUGUGGAUAAGCCAAGUGUUAACCACCCAACCCCGAUGGAACUCCAGCAAUUAAAAAUGGUGAUAAGUUGAAAAUUGGUGUAUUGCGAGGGAUGAUUGAAGAUCGUAUUUCUCCAUGGGCGACUUAUGUGGUCCAACCCGAAACAUCUAUAAUCUAUGAUCAAGUAUUUUAUAAUCCAAGUGAGAGAUAUACGGACAAGAGCAAGAAACCCUCAGCACCAACUAAUAUCAAAAUUUAUCAAAGUCACGUUGGUAUCAGCAGCCCAGAUUAUCAAGUUGCAAGUUACGAUUAUUUCAGAGAGAAAGUUCUUCCCCGGACCAAGAAACACGGUUACAAUGCGAUUCAAUUGAUGGCUAUUAUGGAACAUGCAUAUUAUGCUUCAUUUGGUUAUCAAGUUACUUCAUUUUUUGCACCCUCUUCCCGCUAUGGCACUCCCGAUUAGCUUAAACGUCUUAUCGAUGAAGGCAUUUACGUUCUUUUGGACAUAAUUCACAGCCAUGCUUGUAAAAAUGUAGACGAUGGUUUGAAUCGUUUUGAUGGAACCAAUAGUCAUUAUUUUCAUGACGUCCCAAGAGGUGAACAUACUCUUUGGGAUUCGCGUUUAUUUAACUACUCCAAUUGAGAGACACUUCGUUUUUUACUCUCAAAUUGUCAUUACUGGCUGGAAGAGUUCCAGUUCGUUGGUUUCCGUUUUGAUGGUGUAACAUCAAUGCUUUAUCAUUCACAUGGUAUUAGACAUGGUUUCUCUGGUGAUUACAAUGAAUACUUUGGCCUUAAUACGGAUACCGAGAGUUUCAAUAAUUUACAACUGGCCAACCAUGAAAUUCAUCAUUUCCAUCCCAAUGCAGUUACCAUAGCUGAAGAUGUUUCCGGAAUGCCUGCUCUCUGUCGACCCAUUUCAGAGGGUGAAGGAGGUUUUGAUCGUUUAGUUGUGGAAAUUCCUGAUAAAUGGAUUGAAUUACUUAAAGAGUGUAGCGAUGAAGAGUGGAAUAUCGGUAACCUUGUACAUACUGUUUCAAAUCGUCGUUGGAAAGAGAAAAUUAUUGCAUAUGCCGAAUCUUAUGAUCAGGCGUUGGUUGGUGGAUAAAGAAAUACUCAUCAUCAUUCACAAUUUACAUCAUUGGCCACAAAAAUCAAUAUUAUUUUAACCAAAAAAGUCACAAAUAAAACUUUUUUCAUAGAGAAUCGCAAAAUAUACUUGAAGGCCUAAUAUUUCAAAAUGAAAGUAAUGAGAGUCACCUAGGUUACAUUCAUAUGACAAUCCUAUUAGCGCCAUAACUCGAAAUCAUAAGAUUCUUGAAAACUGUUUUUGAGAAACAUUCAUAGACAAAGAGAUCUUAGUUUAACCUUUACACACUCAGGUGAUCUACUUUUGACUACAAUCCUUAAAUGAAAAUUUUAUCAUUCAUCUUAUAAUAAACUUUUAUAUAAUUUGUACAUGAAAUAUCAAUUUUUUGUAGUGAAAUGAAUGAAGAAAUUAGUAGGAAUUCUGAUAAAAGUAAGUUUUGUUUUUUUUCCACUCAGUUUUAAAAUACAUGUAAAUGUACCUGUAAAACAUUUUGUCAUAUCGAAACUCAAAAUAUACUUGACACACUAAUAAUGCAAAGUAAAAAUAUUGAGAGUCACCUAGUUUAGAUACAUAGGACUAAACUUGAAAUCUCGGCGAAGCUUCUUGGGGACUGGUUUUGAGAAACAUUCAUAGACUAAGAGAUCUUAGUUUAACCUUAACACACCCAGAAGCUGAUCUACUUUCAUUUACAACUUUUUGCCCUUAAAUGGAAAUUUUAUCAUUUAUCUCAUAAUAAACUUUUGUAAAUUUAUACCAACAAUAUUAUUUUUUGUCGUAAAAUGGAUGCCGAAGAUAACAGGUGUUCUGAUAAAAUUACAAUAAAAGUAAGGCUAUCGGAUGAGGAUUAUCAUGACAUUGCAAUUGAUUGGUCAAAUGAAAGUUUUGAUUUCAGGAAACAAUUGUUUCACCAGUUAUCAGCAUACACAGGAAUACUAGUUAUACAUCAAGAGUAUGUCAGUGUGUACAAUGUAGAUGAUCACCGAUGUGCCGGUAUAAAAAACGCCGAAUGCAGAAACGGAUAUGGGAAUGACUAUUAUGGUUGGAGAUAUGAUACCAAAGAGCGCGCAAUGAGAGCUUUGCAUGAUGGCGAUUGUUUUCUACUUGAAACAGAAAUGGUGUCAGACGGUUUUUAUCCUGGGAUUUACUGUAUGUAUGAACUGGUACAUAGAGAUCACGUUAGUGAAACUGGAUGUAACCAUCGUUAUUGUCAUUAUUUGGGUAGUCGACCUAUUACAAAGAAAAUUUUAGAGCUGAUAAAUUCAGAUUACUUACAAAAAGUUUUGGACGUUGAAGGACAAACAGUGGAGGACAGAGAUACGAUUAUAAAUAGAAUGCAACUUAAUUUGAACAUUAAACAUUUUACAGAGCUAAAGUGUAGUGCAAAGAUUUUAUUUUAUCCACGUUUAGGGUUGCGGAUACAUAGUAACUAUUUACGUUAUCGUGGUUGACCAAGCAAGCCUGAACGAGUCCAACCAAAAAAGAGCAUAAAAAAUGAUUUAUAAGAAAAAGUGGGGACAAAUCAGAAUCUUUAUUCAGAAACAGAAAACAUCACUUAUCAAUAACUUUUUGCAUUAAAAGAUGAAAAUUUAAAAAAA